rnacentral:rRNA from 1 species
ACACUGUUCAUGGGUUACCGCGGCUGCUGGCACGGAGUUAGCCGGUGCUUCUUCUGCGAGUAACGUCACAGAUGUAAGGUAUUAACUUACACCCUUUCCUCCUCGCUGAAAGUGCUUUACAACCCGAAGCCUUCUUCACACACGCGGCAUGGCUGCAUCAGGGUUUCCCCCAUUGUGCAAUAUUCCCCACUGCUGCCUCCCGUAGGAGUCUGGGCCGUGUCUCAGUCCCAGUGUGGCUGAUCAUCCUCUCAGACCAGCUAGGGAUCGUCGCCUAGGUGAGCCUUUACCUCACCUACUAGCUAAUCCCACCUGGGCUUAUCCAUCNGCGCAAGGCCCGAAGGUCCCCUGCCUUUCCCCCGUAGGGCGUAUGCGGUAUUAGCAGUCGUUCCAACUGUUAUCCCCCACAAAUGGCAAAUUCCCA